UCUCUGAAGUUAAACUGGAGAAAACAGUAAAUCUACUCUAUAAUGGUUAAUGUUGUUUAAUGACUGAUUCACAUGUUGUAGUACAUCUUAGUGCAGAUAAGAAAAAUAACCUCCCAGAAUAUGACCAAAGUAAUGAUUAACACUACAGUUAUUACGUUUAAAUUACAGCACAGAUAAGCUGGAUAAUAAAAUCCUCUCCUCUAAAGCUGAAGUGACUGCAGGCCUUUCUGUUAUGGUCUCUGCUCUAGUCCCUGUUUCUCUCCUUCAUUCUCCUUCCUGGUCUCUCCUUCCUCCUGUCUGCCUGUUUUGAUCUGUCUCCCUUUGGCUCCUUCUGUCUAUCUCUCUCCCUCGUCCCUGUCUCUCCCUGCUUCACCUGUCUGCACUCAGCUGAUUACUGCAGGUGACUCACAUUGCAGUAAUCAGCUCACCUGCCCACAAUAUCACCUGUUCACUAUUUAAACUCUGCUCUUUCACUCAUUCCCCGUUGGACCAUAGAUUCUGUUGCCCUCCUGGCAUCUGUUUCUCCCCACCAAGUCUGCUACCUCCUGUCCGCUUUGGAUUUCCCGCACUUGGACUCUGUUUUGCUCCUGUCUGUUCAUGGAUUUUCCCCAGCUUGUUUUCCCCUCGGUUGUCAGUUCCCCCAUCUUGUGUCUCAUGUUCACUGUGAGGAUCUUCUGAGUGAAGCCAACAGAAGGAAAACCUCAUCUGGUUGUGAAGAAGGAGACUGAACAGACGACAUCCUCAGUGAACCACUUCCUGUUUAGCUUUCACUUACAGAAGAGUGAAAGUAGCAGUUCCUCCUGAAGGUCAGAGAUUGCAGCAUCUGAGGGCCUCUUCAAAAGAAGACGUAGUUGAUGAAGGCAUUCUGGAGCAGGACCAGAAAGACCACGACCAAGCAGCCUUGAGAUCUUAGGCAGCGUCUCCCUCAGGUCCCUCUCUAUCUCCCCACACAUCCACCAACCACUGGAACACAUCUCCAAAGUUCUGCCGGGCCACCUCAGCUUCCCCUCAGAAGAAGUGCUGCCACCUGCCAGAUGAAGGAGCCUUUUGAGAGGCAGCUGGCAUCGUGAUUGGACUGUACUUUGGUCUGUUCCAAUCCAGCUUCAGCUCCAGAGACGGCAGGCGGGACGAGUCAAUGGAGGCCGGGUGGACGAAGGCAUGCAGCUGAGUCAAAAAAAAAAGCGAUUUUUCAACAUGUUGUAAAAACGUGCCAUAUGAUGAAGUAAUGUAAAAGACUCAGUUAAAAACACUAUGGUAAGGUUUUCUUUAAAAAAAAAUCCUCAUGAAUUUUGGUGCAAAAAAAUGCUAUAUUAUACUAUGUCGAAAAAAAGAUGUGAUUUUUCAACAUGUUGUAAAAACGUGCCAUAUGAUGAAAUAAUGUAAAGCAGGCUGUGAAAAACACUCCAGAAAGGUUUUCUUAGAAAAAAAAAAUCAUCAUGAAUUUUGGCGCAAAAAAACGCCAUAGUAUACUAUGUCGAAAAAAAUGCGUUUUUUUUAUCAUGUUGUAAAAACAUGCCAUAUGAUGCAAUAAUGUAAAGCAGGCUUUGAAAAACACCAUGGUAAGGUUUUCUUAGAAAAAAAAAUCAUCAUGAAUUUUGGCGCAAAAAAACGCCAUAGUAUAUGAUGUCGGAAAAAAAAUGCGGUUUUUCAACAUGUUGUAAAAACGUGCCAUAUGAUGAAAUAAUGUAAAGCAGGCUGUGAAAAACACUCCAGAAAGGUUUUCUUAGAAAAAAAAAAUCAUCAUGAAUUUUGGCGCAAAAAAACGCCAUAGUAUACUAUGUCGAAAAAAAAUGCGUUUUUUUUAUCAUGUUGUAAAAACAUGCCAUAUGAUGCAAUAAUGUAAAGCAGGCUUUGAAAAACACCAUGGUAAGGUUUUCUUUGAAAAAAAAUCAUCAUGAAUUUUGGUGCAAAAAAACGCCAUAGUAUACUAUGUCGAAAAAAAAAGCGACUUUUCAGCAUGUUGUAAAAACGUGCCAUAUGAUGAAAUAAUAUAAAGUACGCUGUGAAAAACACUAUGGUAAGGUUUUCUUUGAAAAAAAAAAGAAUUUUGGCGCAAAAAAACGCCAUAGUAUACUAUGUCGAAAAAUGCCAUUUUUCAACAUGUUGUGAAAACAUGCCAUAUGAUGAAAUAAUGUAAAGCAGGCUAUGAAAAACACUCCAGAAAGGUUUUCUUAGAAAAAAAAAUCAUCAUAAAUUUUGGCGCAAAAAAACGCCAUAGUAUACUAUGUCGAAAAAAAUGCGUUUUUUUUUUAUCAUGUUGUAAAAACAUGCCAUAUGAUGCAAUAAUGUAAAGCAGGCUGUGAAAAACAGCAUGGUAAGGUUUUCUUUGAAAAAAAAAUCAUGAAUUUUGGCGCAAAAAAACGCCAUAGUAUACCAUGUCGAAAAAAAUGCGACUUUUCAGCAUGUUGUAAAAAGGUGCCAUAUGAUGAAAUAAUAUAAAGUACGCUGUGAAAAACACUAUGGUAAGGUUUUCUUUGAAAAAAAAAAAGAAUUUUGGCGCAAAAAAACGCCAUAGUAUACUGUCGAAAAAUGCCAUUUUUCAACAUGUUGUGAAAACAUGCCAUAUGAUGAAAUAAUGUAAAGCAGGCUAUGAAAAACACUCCAGAAAGGUUUUCUUUGAAAAAAAAAAAGAAUUUUGGCGCAAAAAAACGCCAUAGUAUACUAUGUCGAAAAAAAAUGCGAUUUUUUAUCAUGUUGUAAAAACGUGCCAUAUGAUGAAAUAAUGUAAAGGAGGCUGUGAAAAACACUCCAGAAAGGUUUUCUUUGAAAAAAAAAAUCAUCAUGAAUUUUGGCGCAAAAAAACGCCAUAGUAUACUAUGUAGAAAAAAAAUGCGAUUUUUUAUCAUGUUGUAAAAACAUGCCAUAUGAUGCAAUAAUGUAAAGCAGGCUGUGAAAAACAGCAUGGUAAGGUUUUCUUUGAAAAAAAAAUCAUGAAUUUUGGCGCAAAAAACGCCUUACUAUACUAUGUCGAAAAAAAUGCGACUUUUCAGCAUGUUGUAAAAACGUGCCAUAUGAUGAAAUAAUAUAAAAUAGGCUGUGAAAAACACUAUGGUAAGGUUUUCUUUGAAAAAAAAAGAAUUUUGGCGCAAAAAAAACGCCAUAGUAUACUGUCGAAAAAUGCCAUUUUUCAACAUGUUGUGAAAACAUGCCAUAUGAUGAAAUAAUGUAAAGCAGGCUAUGAAAAACACUCCAGAAAGGUUUUCUUAGAAAAAAAAAUCAUCAUAAAUUUUGGCGCAAAAAAACGCCAUAGUAUACUAUGUCGAAAAAAAAAUGCGAUUUUUUAUCAUGUUGUAAAAACGUGCCAUAUGAUGAAAUAAUGUAAAGGAGGCUGUGAAAAACACUCCAGAAAGGUUUUCUUUGAAAAAAAAAAUCAUCAUGAAUUUUGGCGCAAAAAAAACGCCA